AUGUAGGGAAGGGAUAAACGCUGAAAGCAUCUAAGUGUGAAGCCCACCUCAAGAUGAGAUUUCCCAUUUCUUUAAGAAAGUAAGACCCCUGAAAGAUGAUCAGGUAGAUAGGUUGGAAGUGGAAGUGCAGUGAUGCAUGGAGCGGACCAAUACUAAUCGGUCGAGGACUUAACCAAAAA
rnacentral:rRNA from 1 species